AUUGAACGCUGGCGGCAUGCUUUACACAUGCAAGUCGAACGGUAACAGGUUAAGCUGACGAGUGGCGAACGGGUGAGUAAUGCAUCGGAACGUGCCCGAUCGUGGGGGAUAACGCAGCGAAAGCUGCGCUAAUACCGCAUACGAUCUGAGGAUGAAAGCGGGGGACCGUAAGGCCUCGCGCGAUCGGAGCGGCCGAUGUCAGAUUAGGUAGUUGGAGGGGUAAAGGCCCAACAAGCCGACGAUCUGUAGCUGGUCUGAGAGGACGACCAGCCACACUGGGACUGAGACACGGCCCAGACUCCUACGGGAGGCAGCAGUGGGGAAUUUUGGACAAUGGGCGAAAGCCUGAUCCAGCAAUGCCGCGUGCAGGAAGAAGGCCUUCGGGUUGUAAACUGCUUCUGUACGGAGCGAAGAGGUCCUUUCUAAUACAAGGGGCUCAUGACGGUACCGUAAGAAUAAGCACCGGCUAACUACGUGCCAGCCGCCGCCGUAA
rnacentral:rRNA from 1 species